UACAUGCUUAAUGUAGUUAAUUAAAAAUUGCCCUUGUUUUGAAUGGACUAACAGUUGGGACUAAUGUUAAAACUCCACAGUUGUUUAGUUUUAAUUUAUUAUCUCUGAUUAUUAGUCUCUGUCUCAUUAGUAGGCUGAUUUGGAUCCAUAAAAUUUAACAAUGUUAAUAUUCAAACACUGUUACAAUAAAAAUAACAUCAAUAUGCUUAGCUUGUCUUGUUCACCACCUUUAUAAUACAGGAUGCAAAGGGCAAAGAUUUAUUUAGUGGAAUUGUAUAUUUCAUUUGUUCUUUGUAUUAGUAAUAAAAUAGUUAAUUUGUCUUGAAUUAGACAAUUGCCUGGGAUGUUAUCUGGCAAUAUAUCUUAUGCAAUUUUAGUGAUUAACAUGUCAUUUAGUUACUGGGAAAGGGAGAAGUAAUCACUGACUUGGUUGAUGUUUUGGAGGUGACUAAUUUGAUUGUAAACAAGUAGUGUUUUUAAAGGAAGUUGUAGAUUAGUUUGUACUGUGAUCUUUUGAAACUGGAGAAAUUAAAAUUUAAGUAUGUUUAUUAGAAAAAUAGACUUAUUUUGAACACUGAGUUACUACCAUUUAUUUUUAUGUUCUUACUGAAUGAUUGAACAUUGUUUAAAAAAAUAAUUUAAAAAGUCAAUUUAGGUGGUACAAACAAACUUGUAAAACUUCCUGAAAUGGAAACUUUUAUAGGAUUAAGAGUGAAAAACAAGGAAGAGAGAUGUGUAGAAAAUAUCUGAUUAUUUGGGUCCCCUAUCCUUGUUUGGCAUGAGAAAAGCCCAGAGAUUGCUUGGUGUUUGGGGAUUGGCUCAUUUCUGGUAGAGUGGAGAAUUGACAGGCACACACAAAUUAAAUUUAAGUUUCGGUUUGCUGAUGGGACAUCUUGGUCAGAAGUAGCUCUAUCUUGGGUCUAGAAAGUUAUUUCAGCAACAUGAAGAAGCUGAUUAUUUAAGCAAACUUUGUUCAGCAUGCAACAAAUCUAUUUUUGCUAAAUAAAUAUAACCUGAAAGAGACCAUAGGGAUUUUUUUUAAGUUGUACGUUGGCUUAGGUCUUGGGUUUUGAUGGAUAUGGAGGAAUUAUAUAAGAAUAAGAAGGGAAAAUGCUAUUCAUAUUCAGGAAGGAAGACUAGCACAAGUGAAAGAGUAGAAACAGAAACCAUAGGUUUGUGGGAGGAUGGAUCAGGGAAUUGGGAGUGAGGUGUAUGGUUAGGAUAGAGAGCCCACAUUCAUGGUGUAGUGAUAUAAUGGAAAUAGUGUAUUAGGUUUAUUGUUAAUAGAGAGCUAUAUGCAUGAAAAUGUAUCAUCCAUCCCAUCAUUACUUUCUAUAGGGAAAAAUUAGAAGGAAUCUAAAUUGUCUCAUAGGAAAUCGGUUAAGUAACUUACGGUUCACCAGUUAAGUGUAAAAUGCAGAAAUAAUUGUCCAUGUUAACAGUAUGGAAAGAUGAUAAUAAAUGAAAAAGCAGAAUAAUAUCAAAAUGAUUAAAAUGCAAGUGUUAAGGUGGUGAGACUGUAGGUGAUAUCCCCCUAUUCUAUAGCACCUAGGGUCUUCCAGUAUAAACGUAUAGUUAUGUAGAAAUGAAGAUUAUAAUUAAGUUAUAAUUAAAUUAUAAUGAGAUUAAAAUUAUGAUACUUAAAAAUCUGGUGACAGUUUAUAGGGAAAACAAGGUGCUACUUCUUUCUCUGCUGAGAUGGUGUGAGGUAAAUGGCAGAAUUUUCAGAAUCUACUGCCUUGCCUUAGUUCAUUUACAUAUCAGUAGGUAUUUACCACUGCACAGCCUCCCAUCAAUCUGGGACAAGGGGUGGAGAGAAAACUGCCAUUCUCUCUCUCCUCCCCUCCAUUCCUGCUGGUAUGUAAUUGGUCUGGCAUUUGCCAUUCACCGAGGACCCAUCCAUGGAGUUCCUGGCAGAAGGAGUGGGCUGGGGAAGGAGAGAGUCAGCUGAGUCCAGAGGAGUUGGAUCUGGGGCUGGCUAGUGACUGUAAGAAAUAAAAGCCUUGCUACCAGCCUACCCUUUCCCGUGACAUUUCGAUUUCACCAGAUUCAUAGGGAACUUGUCCCAGGCAAGGAACACCCUUCUCUAUGGGGCUACAGAUGGACAUUUUUAUUAGUAUUAUUUUUGGUUAGGUAAAUAUAAAGUCAAAAGGAGAAAUUUGUUAGUCAAUGGUUUCAUGACUUAGAAACAUUAUUAGUGUCACUGGAAAAUAUUUGGAGAUAAUACUUUCUUAGAAAUAGGAGAAGAAAUAAUUACCUAGUUUUAGAUUGGUUGCAGCAAAUUACAUUUUGAGUGUUACUUGUUCUAUUAAUCUUAAUUUUCAAAUUAUUGAUACAGAAAUUUUUUUCUUAAUUUUAGAAAGUGGGUUAAUUUUUCACAAUUAUUGUCUUCAUAUUCCUCUUCAUUUCAUUAAUAGCUGUUUUACUAACUUGCUUGAAAUAUGUAUAGCAGCAGAAGAGGUACAAACCCAAUAGUUCAUCUACUAAUACUUUGUUUAGAAUUUUGGUUAGUGAAGCUUAUUUUCAAGUAAGUUUUAGAUUUGCCUAGUCCCUAAGUAAAAAACUAUGAUUUUAACAUUUCUAAUUAACUCAUAAGUUAUGUUCAGGAGUAAUUUAUUAUACUUAAGAGUUCUGCAGGGACACGUGAUAAUUCAUUGAUACUUAGGUAAGUCUCUUGAACUUCCUAAGUUUUCUGUAUAAAAUGAGAUUUACAUUUGCUAUCACUUUUUCAUAUUUUUUCUUUUUAGAUAUGGUAAUUAUUAGACUUAGGUAUAAGUACCCUGUGGAUUUGAUAAUAACUAAAUUUAAGUUUCUGUAGGUGUGGUCCCUAGAUCACAUCAGUAUCAGUAGAAUUUCAUCAGUAGUAUCUGAUUGAUUGCUGAAAUGUAGAAUUCUGAGACCCAACUCAAACCUGUUCCUAGUGGUUCUGGGGUUUUGUAGGCACACUGAAGUUUAAGACCAGAGGGUGCAUGUUAGCAGGUAGGAGAGUGGAGUAUAAAAAUUGACUUACUUAAAUUGCUACUGAGAGCUCAAAAUAAAACUUUAUACUCUGUAUCCAGAAUUAAGUCUAUGACUAUAUUUUAUACUUACCCUCUCUCACAUACAUUGCAAAUAACCCAUUUCUCUUUUCUUCAGGCUUUCUCCACUACUCCUUUUACCUUUAAUAACCAAACCACUGUCCAGUACCUAAAAGUUUCUGUAUAGUUUUUACACUGCUUUGUUGCAUUUGCUCCAUUUACCAAGGUCCUUGAAGUCAGUGAGUCACCACUUUCUUGUUCUUGGGCAUACUCACAGUAAAAAUAGUCAUUUUGUGCCUUCUUCAUUAUACUUGUGUGCUCGAAAGGUAACUGUUAGUAUGUUUAUUCUAUAAUUGGGGUGACCACGGGCCUGCAGUUUCUCUUAACUUAUUCUAAGCCCUAUUUUGACUAAGGCCUCAUAGUUCUGAUAUACCCUGGCUGGGAUUAACUAUAGUUUGUCAAAACAGUAGGCUAAUGUCAUUAGAAUCUAGUUAGAACCAAUGCCACUAAGGAAUCUCAACCCCAAGCUGAAACAGGUAAGUUCAGCAUAUACCUGUGUUUGGAACUGUGGGUAUUCCAUUGCUAAUAUUUAAAUAGUGAUAACUGUGCAAUAAUAAUGUGUAACUUUCCUGUAUUUUGGUGCCUGUAGGUUAUUCCUUUCCUCUAACUAUUUUUUAACUGACAAUUUACAGGAAGUAUCUAAGACAUUAUUAAACAAAAUACAAAGAAUUGUUAACUAGAGAUCUGCGUCUGGAUAUUCUAGACUUCUGGUGUAUGGAUUUGUUUUAGCUUAAUAAUAACUUUUUUUUUUUUUACCUCUGGUACCCUGAAAAGGAAAAAAAAAAUGUCUGUAUAUAUGUGUGUAUAUAUACUCUUGAACCACUCUUAAGCAGGUGAAAUAAGAUUUAAGAUUGAUAGGUGAAGUAAUGUUUUUAUUAGACAAAGAAUCUAAGCCUUUUAGUAAUACCUAGUGGGUGUUGCCGUCGUUCAUUGCCCACUUCCCCUGUACAGUGAUACCACCAUCACCUUAGAGCAUUGCCACUUUGUUACCUUAACUUUAGAUUUUCCCUGUCAAUGUCAAAAUUUCUUCUGGGGUUUAAAAAAGUUACAUAAAGUUUGAGCAAUCAAUAUUCACCUUGAAGAAAAUACAUGAAAGAUGAGAAUAAAUGGUUAUAUAACUUUCUACUAUACCAAGUUGCUUGUGUUUUCCUUCUCAUUGCCUCAAAUGUAACUGCCUUAACUCUCAACAUAUGGCUUUUCCUGACUCACUUUUUUUUUAUGGCUUAUCCCACAUGUCACUUCUUCCAGGAAGCAAUUUCUGAUUAUUUUCCUUUCUCUUCCAAAUAGAUACGAUCAUCCACAUUAACAAAACAAAACUCAUGUGUUCUAUUUAUGGUACCCAUUCU